CCUACGGGUGGCAGCAGUGAGGAAUAUUGGUCAAUGGACGAGAGUCUGAACCAGCCAAGUAGCGUGAAGGAUGACUGCCCUAUGGGUUGUAAACUUCUUUUAUAUGGGAAUAAAAUGUUCCACGUGUGGGAUUUUGUAUGUACCAUAUGAAUAAGGAUCGGCUAACUCCGUGCCAGCAGCCGCGGUAAUACGGAGGAUCCGAGCGUUAUCCGGAUUUAUUGGGUUUAAAGGGAGCGUAGGUGGAUUGUUAAGUCAGUUGUGAAAGUUUGCGGCUCAACCGGAAAAUUGCAGUUGAAACUGGCAGUCUUGAGUACAGUAGAGGUGGGCGGAAUUCGAGGUGUAGCGGUGAAAUGCUUAGAUAUCACGAAGAACACCGAUUGCGAAGGCAGUUCACUGGACUGCAACUGACACUGAGGCUCGAAAGUGUGGGUAUCAAACAGGAUUAGAUACCCUGGUAGUC
rnacentral:rRNA from 1 species